UACGAGGGGGGCAAGCGUUGUUCGGAAUUAUUGGGCGUAAAGGGUGCGUAGGCGGUUUCGUAAGUCUUAUGUGAAAUCUAUGGGCUCAACCCAUAGUCUGCAUAGGAAACUGCGAGGCUUGAGUAUGGGAGAGGUGAGUGGAAUUUCCGGUGUAGCGGUGAAAUGCGUAGAUAUCGGAAGGAACACCUGUGGCGAAAGCGGCUCACUGGACCAUUACUGACGCUGAUGCACGAAAGCUAGGGGAGCAAACAGG
rnacentral:rRNA from 1 species